CCGGGCAUCAAACUGGUUGUGGUUUGUCACGUCAGAUAUCAUAUCACAGCCAUCUUUGAUGACCCUGG
rfam:Ixodes scapularis strain Wikel colony gcontig_1107729167050, whole genome shotgun sequence.